rnacentral:rRNA from 1 species
AGGUGAUGGACAACAGGUUGAUAUUCCUGUACUACCGAUAACCGUUUGAGAGAAGGGAUGACACAGUAGGAUAAGCUAAGCACACUGUUGGUUAUGUGUGCCCAAGCAUUGAGGCAGUCAAAGUAGGUAAAUCCGCUUUGAUAAUGCUGGGAUGUGAUGGGGAGCGAAAUUUAGUAGCGAAGUAGCUGAUUUCACACUGUCAAGAAAAGUCUCUAUCGAGGUUAAAGGUACCCGUACCGCAAACCGACACAGGUGGGUGAGGAGAGUAUCCUAAGGCCAGCGAGAGAACUGUUGUUAAGGAACUCGGCAAAAUGACCCCGUAACUUAGGGAUAAGGGGUGCCACCAUCAGGUGGCCGCAGAGAAUAGGCCCAAGCGACUGUUUACCAAAAACAUAGGUUUCUGCUAAGUCGCAAGACGAUGUAUAGGAGCUGACGCCUGCCCGGUGCUGGAAGGUUAAGGGGAUCUGUUAGAGCAAUCGAAGCAGUGAACUUAAGCCCCAGUAAACGGCGGCCGUAACUAUAACG